ACGUAGGGUGCAAGCGUUAAUCGGAAUUACUGGGCGUAAAGCGUGCGCAGGCGGUUUUGUAAGACAGUUGUGAAAUCCCCGGGCUCAACCUGGGAACUGCCAUUGUGACUGUAAGGCUAGAGUACGGCAGAGGGGGAUGGAAUUCCGCGUGUAGCAGUGAAAUGCGUAGAUAUGCGGAGGAACACCGAUGGCGAAGGCAACCCCCUGGGCCUGUACUGACGCUCAUGUGCGAAAGCGAGGGGAGCAAACGG
rnacentral:rRNA from 1 species